UCAUAUGGAUGAGCGAAGAAAGUGGUUUCUUGAGAUGGAAUCGACAUCUAAUGAAGAUGCUGUGAA
rnacentral:pre_miRNA from 1 species